rnacentral:rRNA from 1 species
CCUACGGGAGGCAGAAGUGGGGAAUAUUGCACAAUGGGCGCAAGCCUGAUGCAGCCAUGCCGCGUGUUUGAAGAACGCCUUCGGGUUGUAAAGUACUUUCAGUCGUGUGGUAGGUGUUAAGGUUAAUAACCUUAGCAAUUGACGUUAGCGACAGAAGAAGCACCGGCUAACUCCGUGCCAGCAGCCGCGGUAAUACGGAGGGUGCGAGCGUUAAUCGGAAUUACUGGGCGUAAAGGGCACGCAGGCGGUUAAUGAAGUGGGAGGUGAAAUGCGGGGGCGUAAGCUGGGAAUGGGAAUGAAGACUGGUUAGAUAGAGUCAUGUAGAGGGGGGUAGAAUUCCAUGUGUAGCGGUGAAAUGCGUAGAGAUGAGGAGGAAAAACGGGGGCGAAGGCGGCCACCUGGAGAAAGAGGGACGCUCAUGUGCGAAAGCGUGGGGAGCAAACAGGAUUAGAUACCCGGGUAGUC